UACGUAGGGCGCAAGCGUUGUCCGGAAUUAUUGGGCGUAAAGAGCUCGUAGGCGGUUUGUCGCGUCUGCUGUGAAAACCUAAGGCUCAACCUUGGGCUUGCAGUGGGUACGGGCAGACUAGAGUGCGGUAGGGGUGACUGGAAUUCUUGGUGUAGCGGUGAAAUGCGUAGAUAUCAAGAGGAACACCUGAGGUGAAGACGGGUUGCUGGGCCAACACUGACGCUGAUGCGCGAAAGCCAGGGGAGCAAACGGG
rnacentral:rRNA from 1 species